GCGGUGGUGGCUCAAGAGGAAGAGCGCUCAUCUAGCAUGUGUGAGGUGCUGGGUUCAAUCCUCAGCACCACA
rnacentral:tRNA from 1 species